GAUGAACGCUAGCGAUAGGCUUAACACAUGCAAGUCGAGGGGCAGCAUGGUCUUAGCUUGCUAAGACUGAUGGCGACCGGCGCACGGGCGCGUAACGCGUAUGCAACUUGCCUCACAGAGGGGGAUAACCCGUCGAAAGACGGACUAAUACCGCGUACACUCUAUGUUGGGCAUCCAAUGUAGAGGAAAUGAAAUUCGCUGUGAGAUAGGCAUGCGUCCCAUUAGCUAGUUGGUGAGGUAACGGCUCACCAAGGCGACGAUGGGUAGGGGAACUGAGAGGUUGAACCCCCACACUGGUACUGAGACACGGACCAGACUCCUACGGGAGGCAGCAGUGAGGAAUAUUGGUCAAUGGGCGAGAGCCUGAACCAGCCAAGUCGCGUGAAGGAUGACUGUCUUAUGGAUUGUAAACUUCUUUUGUAGGGGAAUAAAGAACGGCACGUGUGCCGUAGUGAAUGUACCCUACGAAUAAGCAUCGGCUAACUCCGUGCCAGCACCCGCGGUAAUACGGAUGAUGCGAGCGUUAUUCGGAUUUAUUGGGUUUAAAGGGUGCGUAGGCGGCCUGUUAUUCAGCGGUGAAAUCCUAGGAGCUUAACUCCUAAAUUGCCCUUGAUACUGGCGGGCUUUGAGUGUAUAUGACGUAUGCAGAAUGCAUGGUGAAGCGGUGGAAUGCAUAGAUUUUUACUUCAAACUCCCAAUUGUAAAGGUGUUUACUAAGGUACGACUGAGGCUGAAGCCGAAUGCUUGCGGUAUCCGACAGG
rnacentral:rRNA from 1 species